rnacentral:rRNA from 1 species
UUAAUUGAAGAGUUUGAUCAUGGCUCAGAUUGAACGCUGGCGGCAGGCCUAACACAUGCAAGUCGAGCGGCAGCACAGAGGAACUUGUUCCUUGGGUGGCGAGCGGCGGACGGGUGAGUAAUGCCUGGGAAAUUGCCCGGUAGAGGGGGAUAACCAUUGGAAACGAUGGCUAAUACCGCAUAACCUCGCAAGAGCAAAGCAGGGGACC